rnacentral:misc_RNA from 1 species
GAAGCUUCGCCUUUACGCUUUAUCCCCAAGAAAUGCUCAACUUUUCUAUCACCAAGCAUGGGUGUCAAGCCACCAGGGAGAUCCUUUUCAACUGUUGCAAAACCACUUCUUGGAUCGCUCGUUUGGCCAGGUUUAACAUGGCCGCUGAGAACAAGAUAAGGGGUCUUUAAUUGUGCUUGAGCUUCCCUCAUUCUCUCCACUGAUAACG